rnacentral:ncRNA from 1 species
GCAAUCAGGGGUGCCAUAUGGCUGAGAAAGAUUACAUAUCUUAACCCUUAUACCUGAUACGGGUAAUACCGGCGUAGGGAGAUUACUUAUUU